UGGGCUUUUUGUUUUUGCUUUCAUCUUGUUUACUUGAUUCAUUAGUAGAGAAAGGUACAAAGUGGGAAAUAAAAGGAAAGCAAAGAAAACAGCAGGUGUGGGAUAUGCAAUCACCACCUCAGUCUUCCAGCAGAGGAAUUUGAAAACUGACAUUGAAAGUUUUGCUUCUGGAAAGCUUUUUCUUAUUGGUUUCCUGUACUGCCUAUCUAACGUUAAAAAUGGUCAACCUCUAGGAAAAGUAGGAGAAGGCUAUCAGGUGAACCAAGUCAAUUUGACAAAUCGCUGACUUUACUCUUACUCUCUUCCUCACCAGGGCUGGGAAUACACAUGCUGCAAACAAGAGAAAUCACUAGGUGUGUGGCUUCCUAAAGUUUAGUCCUAUGCAAUCCCUGCAUACUCUAAAAGAGAGAGAAAGGAAAGAAAAGUUCUGAAAUUGUUGAAGAAAUGAAACGGAUCAGGGCCUUGUGGGGCCCUCCCAGAUCUAUUUAAGACUAUGAUGGGCAAUGAACCUGGUUUCCCAGAUACGUACCAUGGACUCUGAAAGUUAUUUAAGAUAUCAAAGUGAUCGUCGCUUUCUGGCCUUAAAAACCCUCCUCAAUCCAAGUAGCCACUACGCGUUAUCAGAGUUGGCAUUAAAGAUGAAAUGGCUUGUACCUCCCUGUGCUGGAAGAUCUCUCAAGUCCAAAUCAACAGUAUGCCUUUACGUCUUUUUGCUUAAUAGGUAUGCAAUACAGUUCUAGGUUGUUGAACGUGAUAUACUUACUAGAAAUUCCUUUUUAACAUCAGUCUUUCCCUCAUUUCUUUUUUUUACUUCUUUUUGUCUCCUUUUUCAGUUUUAUUAGGUAAAAUUAUUACAGUUCGACUGCACAUAUACAUAUAUUGCAUGUAAAUACACAUCUACAAUAUGCCGCACAUUUUAAAAAAAUUUACAUAUAUGUACUAAUUAUUGUUUCUAAGUCGUUCCCUCAUUUCUAAACAUUUACCCAUAGAGAUUAAUUUUUAAAAUUUAAAUCAGUUCAUUAUACCAAGAAUUGCUAUUGGAAAAAUAUCAUAAAAGUCCCAGAGACCCAAGUUUCCCUGUGCCAGGGUCCAAUCAGGAGAGACAAACCACAGUGUAAUUUGAACAUGAGAAGUUUAAUAUAAUCAUUAAUUAUAGCAAGAUUGGAGUAAUGAGGGGUUGCCUAGUGAAAAAAUAAAGAAAAGCAGUAACAACAGAUAGAAGGAGCAGCCACUACCCCUCAGGCUGGGAGAGGGUGUCCAGAGAAGAGCCCGUCAAGCCCAUCCCAAAAGGGGGGCGGGGGCUUGCUGAGUGUCCCGCGGCAGAGAGCUAGUGCCUGUGGGAAAUGCAAAGAGCCCAUGGAGCGAUGCACCGGAGGUGAGCACAGGCUGGAGCCGGAAGGAGGGGCCCCUCAAAUGAUACCCCAGGUAGAGUUAAAGCCAUCGAGGAAUUUGAAGCAGGAUAGUAACAUCACACGAUUCACGUUUUAAAAUGAUCAUUCUGGCUGCGGUGUGAUGAAUAACCUGUCAAGAGGCAGGAAUGAAAGCAGUAUUAUCAGUUAGGGCGGUGUACCUACAUACUCUUGACCACCCCUCCCAUGGAGAGGUGGUGUCUCUGUCCCUUCCUUCGGAUUUGGGUAGGCCUGUGACAGCUUCAGGCAAAGGAGUACAGAACUGACACUAUGACUUUUGAGGCUGGGUCAUAAAAGACAUUCAGCUGUGUGCUCUUGGGACACAAACUGUGUGGGGAACCAACCCAGCUGCUGGGUAAGAAGUCUAGCUACCCUGUAACUGCCCUGCUGGAGAGGCUCCUACAGACACUCCAGUUGAUAGUCCCAGCUAAGCCCACUUUUCCAGCCCCAUUCCCCACCCCUAAGGCACUAGACACAUGAGUGAAGCCAUCAUGGACCCUCCAGCCCAGCCCAUGCCCCACUGAGUGCCCUUGAGUGACUUCACUCAGUCUCCUGAGGACCAGAAGGGUUCCUCAGCUCUGUGAGCGUUCCUCACCCUACUCAGACUCUGUCUCCAAAAGUCAUGUUGCCCCCGUAGCAGAUGGAUGCCCCUCACCUUGCUCAGCCUCUGACAAUCCACUUCGAGGCUCUUCCAGGUAUGGGCACCUUCCGUGACUCUGCCUUGCCUGAUAAUUUUUCGGAUGAAUUUUUUUUUCAGGAGAAAGUAAAGGAAGGGAAGAUGGUGAGCGAAAGUGGAGUCUUGUCUGCCCACUAUUAAUGCCUGAUUUAAGGCAAGUUAUUUAACCUCAUUAUUCCUUAGUUGCCUACCCCAGCACAGGGUGGGUAUUCAUUAUUAAUUUUUGUGGGAAAGAGGUGUCCUGUGGUCAGUAAGGAACUGUGUGUUUUGGGGCUAGAUACCUUCUCAUCUUUGAGUAUCUCUCCUUCAUUUCUGAAGUUCAGUCCAUUGGCCUUUAAUUGUUUCUUCCUUCAUAAUAUCUUUCAAAUGUGUCUAUUUAAAAUCAUAUAUUAAUAUUAUAUACUAGGCAUAAAAACUAUAAUUGAGUCCUUACAAGAAUUUGUAAUUACAUGCUAUUUUCACACCCAUUUCCUAAGUAGAAAAAGCUGAGGUUUAGAGAGGUUGGGGACCUUGUUCAAGGUCAUGGAGCUUGUAAGUGAUUGAGCUUUGAUUCAAAUCCAGUCCUUUUUAACUCUGAUGUCUGUAAUUUUCUUAGGAGCACAUGCUGUUUUCUUUUAAUUCUACUGCAGUGACCUUCUUUGUUUUCCUCAUGGACCACAGCAACAGCCUUCUAGUCUGUCUUCCUUUUCCCCAGUCUCUUUCUACUUCAAUCCAUACUGCAAUACAACUAACCCUCCUACCAGGUUAAUUUCUCGUAGACACAUACAUCCCCAGAAUUGAAGUCCUCAAAAGCUUUCGACUGAAUCUGGCAGGGGAAGGAACUGUGAGGGUCCAGUGGCUUCACAGAACUUUAUCUGUGGGGAAAUGUUUUCUGCACCCCUUAAAGUUUUCAAAGAAGAAAAGAUUAUAAAUUAUCAGAAGGAGAAACAGUUAAACCUUCCAAAGUACUUGAAUAUGAGCUCUCAGGUCAGGUGGAAUCUAGAGAGUCAUGGGAUGUGCAGAAAGGAUGAGCUAGUGGUCCGGAUAUUGCCAGCUGUCCCCUCUUUUCCCUCCUACACACCAAGGGGAGGCAGGUCCCUCACCACGCACAGGAGACCAAGUCUGGGAAACCUACCAACAAUCCACGAUGGAAACUGGAAAAGGAAACUGAUGUUUUGAUUAAGUGAAUAUUUGAAAUUAUUUCAUUCCAAAGAAAUAUCCCAAUUAAA